rnacentral:rRNA from 1 species
GUGCCAGCAGCCGCGGUAAUACGGAGGGUGCAAGCGUUAUCCGGAUUCACUGGGUUUAAAGGGUGCGUAGGCGGGUUGGUAAGUCAGUGGUGAAAUCUUCAAGCUUAACUUGGAAACUGCCGUUGAUACUAUCAAUCUUGAAUGUUGUGGAGGUAAGCGGAAUAUGUCAUGUAGCGGUGAAAUGCUUAGAUAUGACAUAGAACACCGAUAGCGAAGGCAGCUUGCUACACAAUAAUUGACGCUGAGGCACGAAAGCGUGGGGAUCAAACAGGAUUAGAUACCCUGGUAGUCC